GACUAUCUGCCUUCCUGCCUGCCUAUCUAUCUUACUGACCUGGUUGAAUGAAUGGUAUCCACUGAUGAUAUCCACUGAUGAUAUAUAUCGAUGAUAUAUAUCGAUGAUAUCUUCUAUGAUAUCUCCGAUGAUAUCUACCAAUCAUGAGGUUUCUCACAUUGAGGUAUUUCAGGAUACACCCUCUUUGCGAAAAGCAGUCAAAGAACCCCUUCCCAAUUUCCUAGUUCGCGGCUGUAGAAAAGCCCUGGUUGUGUAUGUGGUUCUACAGCAUGAAAAGAGGGACGCAAAUGCGCCUCCGCAAGGAGCCAGAAAGGAGGCGCACCAACGCAUCCAUGAGCGCGACCUCCAGUGUGAAGCCAGUGACAAAAAAAAAAAAAAAAAAAAAAAAAAAAAAAUUCUGUCUCCGUUAUCGGCAGAAGAACUACCAGGGAGCCUACAAGAAGAAUAACACACAUUAAAAUAUUUUCCCUAUUUGAAUUCCCGCCCUUGCAUCGCUCACCUCAGACGUUCCCAGACAUUCAACCAGACCCCAUUCUUAGUUCAUUAGGUUAGGGGGUCGUGCCGGUCCAGAAUUUUGCCCUUCCUUUCUGGACGACGGUGUCGUUGGGAAUUGAAGUCCCAUAGAAAAGAAAGUAAAAUAUGUUAUUUUGGGAGCUGCAGUUCAUCCAUUAUGGGGAGAAAUAGAAACAAAAAUCGUAGAGGUAUUGCUUUUAUCUUUUUUGAUAUGUAUGCCAUGUAUUAUAGGUAGAGUGAUAAAACGGCUGGAGAUGUUGCACAUUGAAAUUUCGUAAGAUAUUCCUGAAUAUGCCUCGGAAAUUCAGAAAUAGAAAAGUUGGUGAUAUUUCAGGUCCAUGGCGAUUGAAAACUAUGAAUGAGCUGAUAUCUAAUUUCCAACCAACAAGCCUUAGUUAUAGGCUGCAUCAGUUUGCAACCCUUCUAAUGCCCCAGUAGUCAUCAUCACUCAUUAAAUUGGUACGUAUUUUUCUUUCCCAACGUUUAUUUAUGUGGAAUUCCCUCCACGGGCAGGGGCUCAACACCAACAACCUCCGCCGCCAACUUCUCCCCUUUCGCACCUGCAUGCUUCUCCUCUUUCAUGAACGGGAACGCAAGCACCUCCUUGAUACUAUAAUUAUCAGUCAGGAACAUCACAAGUCUGUCGAUGCCCAUGCCCCAGCCCCCAGUGGGCGGGAGACCGAAUUCCAAACUCGUGCAGAAGUUCUCAUCGAUCAGCUGCGCCUCGUCGUCACCCUGAGCCUUCUGGGACGCUUGCUCUUCGAAUCGAAGACGCUGGUCAAAGGGGUCGUUCAACUCUGUGUACGCGUUGACGAUUUCCUUCUUGCACACGAAGGCUUCGAAGCGCUCACACAGCCCGACGUUGUCGCGAUGGUAUUUGGCCAGCGGAGACAUCAUCUGCGGAUGCCCGGUGAUGAAUGUCGGGUUGAUGCAGGUCUCUUCGAUGAAUUCUCCGACAAGCUUAUCGAGCAUGCGGGCGUUGGUUUCUGGCGGCGUGCAUUCGAUAUUGACUUUCUUCAGGAGCUUCUUGAGGAACUCGUUUGUCUCCACGGUAUGCAGCUGAUCACCGGGAGGGAACUUCUCGCCCGUAGCUUCUUCAAGGGCAGGGAUCAUCUCAAUUCGCUUCCAUGGAGCCUUCCAAUUGACCUUGAAUUCCUCGCCCGUCUGGGUAUGGAAUGUAGUUUCAUAGCCACCAGUGAUAUGCUUUACGAGCCCAGAAACAAGUUCCUCGGUCACGUUCAUGAUAUCGUAGACAUCAGCGUAUGCCCAGUAGAACUCGCACGUGGUGAAUUCCGGGUUAUGAGUGAGAUCGAUGCCCUCGUUUCGGAAUUGACGACCCAACUCGUAAACUCGUUCCAAGCCACCGACAAUCAACAUUUUGAGAUAAAGCUCCGGAGCGACACGCAGGAACAUGUCCAUGUUGAGGUCGUUGUGGUGCGUAAUAAAUGGCUUCGCAGUGGCACCGCCAGCAAUAGUGUUCAUCAUAGGAGUCUCCACCUCGACGAAGUCGCGCUCAUCGAAAAAGCGGCGGAUAUACGAAAUCAUCUUGGACCGGGUGACGAAGACAUUCCGCGAUCUGUCGUUCAUAAUCAAGUCCAGAUACCGUUGUCUAUAGCGCUGCUCCUGAUCCCGAAGCCCAUAAUGUUCCGAGGGGAUCUGAUGCAGACACGGCGCGAGCAGCACCACUUCCGUAGCGAAUAUCGACAGCUCUCCAUCCGCGCGGUUCUUCGGGGCAGUGCGGCCUGGAAAGCCAAUAAUGCCCACAAUGUCUCCUCUUCUCAGAUGUUCAUGUUGGUCCUCGAAGGGGAUGUCUCCCUUCACGUUCUGCGCUUGGCAUGCGACUUGGAUCUUCACGCCCUCAGCACGAAUAUCGUAGAAAAUCAAUUUGGCCCCUGCCGACCGCUUGGUAUAGAUCCGUCCCGCGAUGCGCAGUUCCUUGUCCUUGACCUGGUCACCCUUCUGCAGCGACUCGUACUGCUUAAUGACCUCUCGUACAUCAUCCGUGACCAGGAACUUAUGUGGGUAUGGGUUGGGGCUCUUAGUCUGUCGGAGUUUAUUCACUCGUCCACUUCGGAUCUCGAAGUAUUGGUUAGGCGUCAAAUUGCUCUCUUCCUCCUCAGCACUGGCCUUCUUCUCUGGCUUGGGGGGUGCGGCAGCGGCCCUCUUCUCCCUUUCCGCUUCCUUAGCCCGAUGCUUCUGUCGUUUCUUCAAUUCCGACUUAGACACGUGCUCACCGGUGACUUCAUCAAGGUGCAGGUUUGCGAGAUUGUCGGCAGCGGCAUCGGUAGCUGGCCCUUGGUCUGGUCCCCCCAUUGUGUUGGUAAUCAGGGCAAGAGGCGGGGAAUCGCAAAAUGUGUAUUGUCUGUAAGAUAAGCCCACGGGAUCUGAUAGUGUUUUGGGUACUUGUUGAAAGGUACUGCAAUGUGAACAAUCUGUGCGAACUCAAUUGAUUGUGGAGUGAAAAUUACCUUUGUGAUGGCGGGGGUUGCGGAUUGUUGGAGGGGUUCGGUUUGGUGUACCAUAAUUUAUCUAGUCAUUACAAUUCUACGGAUCUCUUAGAUGCGAAGUGGCUAUUGACCCCUAAAUAGGAGACAGGAGGCAUGUAAAAACAGUAUAUACGAAGGGCUCGAUACAUAAAUGACAUGGCGAUAUUUGGGGGCGCAAGUUACAUCUAGAAACAUGUCACAGCAAACUAACUUACUAUUAGUAGCCCUCCAGCAUAGAGAACAUUAACUUGCGGGCCACCAGUGGCUGGCGCUGCGCAAACAAAAAGAACACCCAAACCAACCUCGCCCCGAGACAUCCUCCCAGCAUCAAAAUACUAGAUAGAACUCACCCAGACCCAAUCAACGAUACGUAGACACUAAUUCACCAAGAGUACAAAACCCACUUCCUCUCCCCCUUAAUAAACACAGCAUAUCUCCAUCCCACAUUAUCCACCAUCAGCGACACUUAUCUUUGAGAACAAUCCAUUACCUGCCCAACAUUCAACAUGGACAGUCGGCCAUGUCGGCCAUGUCAACAUCGUCCUCAACAGUCAUCAACGAAUCCAUCGCUUUCUUAAGUUUAUCUUCCUCCUUCCUUAAAUUGAGGCGGCGCUUUUGGCGCUCGGGGUCUUCGACCAUG
rnacentral:sRNA from 1 species